rnacentral:rRNA from 1 species
UACGAAGGGGGGCUAGCGUUGCUCGGAAUCACUGGGCGUAAAGGGUGCGUAGGCGGGCCUUUAAGUCAGGGGUGAAAUCCUGGAGCUCAACUCCAGAACUGCCUUUGAUACUGAGGAUCUUGAGUUCGGGAGAGGUGAGUGGAACUGCGAGUGUAGAGGUGAAAUUCGUAGAUAUUCGCAAGAACACCAGUGGCGAAGGCGGCUCACUGGCCCGAUACUGACGCUGAGGCACGAAAGCGUGGGGAGCAAACAGG